rnacentral:rRNA from 1 species
UACGGGGGGGGCAAGCGUUGUUCGGAAUUACUGGGCGUAAAGGGCGUGUAGGCGGCCAACUAAGUCCGACGUGAAAUCCCCAGGCUUAACCUGGGAACUGCAUCCGAUACUGGAUGGCUUGAAUCCGGGAGAGGGAUGCAGAAUUCCAGGUGUAGCGGUGAAAUGCGUAGAUAUCUGGAGGAAUACCGGUGGCGAAGGCGGCAUCCUGGACCGGCAUUGACGCUGAGGAGCGAAAGCUAGGGGAGCAAACGGG